ACGGAAGGCAGCAGUAGGGAAUUUUCGGCAAUGGACGAAAGUCUGACCGAGCAACGCCGCGUGAACGAAGAAGUAUUUCGGUAUGUAAAGUUCUUUUAUCAGGGAAGAAAAAGUUAGAAUUGACGGUACCUGAUGAAUAAGCUCCGGCUAACUACGUGCCAGCAGCCGCGGUAAUACGUAGGGAGCAAGCGUUAUCCGGAAUUAUUGGGCGUAAGGGUGCGUAGAUUGCAAUUUAAGUCUCUUGUAAAAAUGCCGGGCUCAACCCAGUAGCGCAAGAGAUACUGAAUAGCUAGAGUACGGUAGAGGCAAGUGGAACUCCAUGUGUAGCGGUAAAAUGCGUAAAUAUAUGGAAGAACACCAGUGGCGAAGGCGGCUUGCUGGACCGAUACUGACAUUGAGGCACGAAAGCGUGGGGAGCAAACAGGAUUAGAUACCCUGGUA
rnacentral:rRNA from 1 species